GACCCACUUGAGGAGGCAGUGUGUCUGUUAAUGGAUCUCAAACGCUGUGCUGGGAGAACCACUGCUCUCUUCAGAGUUGUCAGGCAGGGAUGUUUAAGUCUGUAGAAGCUGUCUGCUGCCUUUUGUUCAGAUAUGCCCUGCCUCCAGAGGUGGAAUCUAAAGGGGCAGUAGGCCUUGUUGAGUCUAAAGGCAGAGUGGCCCAAGCCUCCUCACACUUGGUCAAGAGAGAGAGACCAAGGAAACUAACUUGACUUGAUGUAACUAAUUUCAUCCUCUGGUGUCAUCUCAGAGCAUCACAGGCAAGCUGUGCGUGGAGUCUGUCAGUAAUUAGUGGUGAGGUUUCCCAAAAACGGAUCAGGUUCCCAAGUAGAUAUUGAAUAUUGGGACAUCAGAGUUGGUAGGUGGCCAUCACCUAGAACAGGAGAGGACCCCAGGUACAGGAUUAGGGUACCAAGCAAGGCCCUACAGGCACCAAGAAAUCCAGUGAGGUUUGCCACCCAGAUUUAGCAAAUAAAAAUGCA
rnacentral:lncRNA from 1 species